UGGCUCAGUGGUAGAGCACAUGCUUAGCAUGCAGGAGGUCCUGGGUUCAAUACCUAG
rnacentral:tRNA from 1 species